UUAAUCAAAAAGCCAACAAAAAAAGAAGAAAAAAUAAAAAUAUCUCUACCAUAUUCUUUCCAAUAUCACUUUCCAGCUGUUUGAGAAUUUGGGUUUUUGGAUCCAAAGCCUUCUAUCUCUCUCUAAAUCUUGAAGUCCAUCUGUCUGUCUGUCUGUCAGGCUUUAUCCAGAUCAGUCACAAAAAAAAUAGCUUAAAAUCUUAAAGAUUGACAUUUGGAGAGUUGUAAAUGGACCAAUUUGGCAAUUUCUUGUUGUUCAUAGCACAGAGUGAAUCUCUUUUCAGGCAUAAAAAUUGAAGCUUUUGAGAGCUAAAAAAUGGAGAUAAAUUUGGAUGUUUCAAGUGUUAAAAUGAGGUCAUCUGGAUUUUUCCUCUGAUGUACUCUCCACUCAUAAAGAUUGAAGCUUUGGUGAGCUAAAAAAGGAGGUAACUUUGGGUAUUGUAUGAAUAGGGUCAUCUGAUUUUUCCUCUUAUUUAGUAUGAUGAUAAUAUGAUACGAACUUGAACGAAGAAAUGGGGAUUCAUAUAGUCGACCUCAACUUGUUUGGGAUUGAGGCAUAGUUGUUGUUAUUGUUGUAUAAAGAUUGAAGCUUUGGUGAGCUAGAAAAGGAGAUAAUUUUGGGUGUUGAUUCAAAUAAUCAAUAGGUUCAUAUGGAUUUUUCCUCUUAAUUAGUAUAAUCAAGAAGUGGAAUUCAUAUAGCCGACCCCAACUUGUUCGGGACUGAGGCAUAGUUGUUGUUGUAUAAAGGUUGAGGUUUUGGUGAAGCUAAAAAAGGAGAUAAUUUUGGGUGUUUCAAAGUGAUCAAAUGGGAUCAUCUGGUUUUUUCCUCUUGUGUAUGCUUCAUUCUACGGUAGCCUUAACUUCUGGAGCUUUAAUGAUGUUUUAUAGCAAUGAGGUAUUUAUAUUUAGCCAUGGAAGAGAGAGCGCGAGUAAGCUUUUUGGAUCGACACCCCAUGACCAAUUGAUAAUCCAAACAUCAGAUUCAUUCUCUGGUCUGCUUUUAUUUGCGAUUGGUUUUUUCUUGUUCAUGGUGGCAUUUGUAAAAGACAGAGAGUUUCACAAUUUCUUUGCUAAGGGAUGUGUUCUCCUUCAUAUAGCUAUGGCUAUAUGGAGAAUUUACUUUGAGAGGAUGCUUGAGGAGGAUCUUGGCCACGAUUGGCUUAGAUUGGUUGUUGCUGACAUUGCUUUAGGACUUUCUUGGGUUUUCUUUCUUGUGUAUUCUUGGAGAGAGAAGUAUGAUUAGUCUUUUUCCCUUUGGGGAACGAUACAAAGAAGUUAGCAUGACCUCUAUUCAAGGAUGACACAGAACAAAUCGUGAAAAGUGUGAUUAGUUUAUGUUGCCUUACUUCCUUUGUUUCAUAUAUGGAUCUUGUGGUUGUUGCUGACAUUGCUUUAGGACUUUCUUGGGUUUUCUUUCUUGUGCAUUCUUGGAGAAAGAAGAAUGAUUAGUCGAUAUUAAAAGUGGAACGGUACAGAGAAGAUCAACAUGGUCAUUGCUCAAGGAUGACACGAACAAAUCAAGAAACGUAUCAUUAGCCUUGUUUCAUAAAUAGAUCUUGUGGUUGCCAUUUUCAUACCUUGAAGGGACACAUUUGAGUCCGUAUUUUAGAUUUUUAUUCCAGAAGACGAAAAAUCCAUCUUUUGUUCAAGUAUCAAUAAACUACAUCACAAUCCCAAACUAGUUUGAUUUGGCGAAAGAAUGUGAACGUUUGCAGACUGAAAUCUGGUUGUUAUUGCUCGAGUUAUAGGAAGCUACUUUGCAAGAAGUUAGAUUUUGAAACACAAUCAGAUUGUGCUUCUUUGCUUCAAUCUUAAUGAGAAGUGUUUGUGAUCUCUUGAUGUUGGCUUUUGUUUGGAGUAUUUUAAACUUUUUGAACUUCAAGACUGAAAGAGAAGCUUGAACAACAGUAAAGUUGUCUCCGUCACCUAUUGGUUACGUGUAGGGGUGGGCGUUCGGUAUUCGGUUCGGUAUUUUCAAAAUUUAGAUUCGAUAAUUCGGUAAUCGGUAAUUCAAAGUAUAUACCAAAUACCGAACUUUCAAACUUCGGUUCGGUAAUUCGGUAAUCGGUAAAUAAAAAUUCGGUUCGGUACGGUAUUCGGUAAUACCCAAAUUUUUGCAUCUUAACAUUGGAGAUUUUUUCUGGUUGUUUGUUUGUUGGUGCUGUAGGUACAAUUUCACAACACAUUGGCACAAUCUGAGAAGACAACUAUGCUUGGUUGGUUGUUUGCAUUUGUUUGAUCUUUCUUGUGUAGGUGUGACAAGGGUACAAAUACAACUAUGGAAGGUGCAUUCACAUCACCCUGGAAGGAGCUGCUCAUCAAGAAUAUCACAUCAAACAUCACACAACAACAACUACAAUCUGCAAACUGAAGUUGAACAUGGAGGAGCAACAGCAACUUCCAACAACUACAACUACAGCUCUUGGAGGCCCUUGCUCUUGUUUAUUUGCUUGUUUGUGUGUUUAUGCAGGUUACUGGAGCAGCAAAUCCCAACACCUGGAGCCAUUUUUCUCCUAUGCAGAAACAUCACACAACAACAGCAGAGACUACCACCAAAUUAAUGCACUCAAAAUGGUUUUGCAACUUGGAGGAUGCAAUUUACUUGGAGCCAACAACAAGCAAAAAACUAGCUGAAAAGUAUAGAACAUGAAAGAAUAAAUGGUUUAUUACCAAUUCUUUUCCAGUUUCUUCCUUUGAACCUUUUCACCACUUCAGUCAAAUUCGUCUCAACUAAUCAAAAAGUUACAAGUUGUAAAAUCUAUGUUAUCCUAUUUUUGUCUCUCAGAGAUCCCUGGAGCUCUUUUAGCAUCUGUAAUGGUGGAGAAAAUUGGUUGGAAAUUCAGUAUGACACUUAUGUGUACUUUAAACUUCCUUUUCCUUUUACCUCUUCUUGUUCCUCAACCGCCUGCUUUGACUACUUCCUUGUUAUUUGGUGCUCGUACUUCCAUUUCGGGAAGCUUCGUCAUUGUGGGCGUCUAUUGUCGAGAGAUACAUCGCCGUCUGCAAUCAACCGAACGCCGGCGAAGAACGACGGAGCAGAGAAAAAAGUAAUCUUUGACGAUGGGUGGACUACCAAUAGAGAGUACAUCCACAAGCAUAUCCUUGUCGAAACUACCAAAAGAUCAGAAGUCAGCCGCAUCUACAAUGCCCGAUUCAAAGCCAAAGAAGAAGAUUUGCUGUGCUUGCCCUGAAACUAAGCAGCUGAGGGAUGAAUGCAUUGUGGAGCACGGUGAAUCCGCGUGUGAGAAAUGGAUUGAAGCUCAUCGUAAAUGCCUUCGAGCUGAAGGUUUCAAGGUCUGAAAUCAGUGAUAGAAUCAGAUUUUCUAAAAAAGACACAGGAAGAUACAAUUUUUUGUAUAAUGCCAAGUUUGUUUUUGGGACCAUACAAGUUCAAUCAGCUUAAUGUUUACAGAUCAUUUAUACAAAAGAAUUUUGUUUAACAAAGUUCAGGAAUAAAGCUAGGGAAUUGAAUAAUCGAUUUGCUUGGGUAGGAAAUUUAAGAUAUUUUUUCUUGAUUAUUUGUAUUGUGAAUUACAUUUCUUGAGGUAGAUCGAUCAAUCCAGCCCUAUCCAAAUGAUCGCCCCUUAGCUGA